CCGGGAGAGAACGCGCUUGGGCCGCAAGCCUGGAAGCGUCGCCGAAGGAGCAACCGCCCCGGAAACUCUCAGGCGCAAGGACCGCAACGG
rnacentral:ncRNA from 1 species